rnacentral:pre_miRNA from 1 species
CUCCAUGACCAUCUGUCUUUAAGUUGGGGUAAAUUACUCUUGAAAAAAUAAGGAAUUCUGGAUAGUUUUUCCUUUAAGGCAAGCAUCUUGU